GUUCUUAUAGUUGAAUACAACGUUAGCUUUUCAGGCUAAGGGUCUAGGUUAAAAUCCUUGUAGGAAUU
rnacentral:tRNA from 1 species